CCUACGGGAGGCAGCAGUGGGGAAUAUUGCACAAUGGGCGCAAGCCUGAUGCAGCGACGCCGCGUGAGUGAAGAAGGAUUUCGGUAUGUAAAACUCUAUCAGCAGGGAAGAAAAUGACGUUACCUGAGUGAUAAGCCCCGGCUAACUACGUGCCAGCAGCCGCGGUAAUACGUCGGGGGCAAGCGUUAUCCGGAUUUACUGGGUGUAAAGUGAGCGUAGACGGCUGUGCAAGUCUGGAGUGAAAGCCCCGGGCUCAACCGUGGGACUGCUUUGGAAACUGGAAAGCUGGAGUGCAGGAGAGGUAAGUGGAAUUCCUAGUGUAGCGGUGAAAUGCGUAGAUAUUAGGAGGAACACCAGUGGCGAAGGCGGCUUACUGGACUGUAACUGACGUUGAGGCUCGAAAGCGUGGGGAGCAAACAGGAUUAGAUACCCCAGUAGUC
rnacentral:rRNA from 1 species